AUUGAACGCUGGCGGCAUGCCUAACACAUGCAAGUCGAACGGCAGCACGGGGGCAACCCUGGUGGCGAGUGGCGGACGGGUGAGGAAUACAUAGGAAUCUGCCCAGUCGUGGGGGAUAACGUAGGGAAACUUACGCUAAUACCGCAUACGACGGUGACGUGAAAGUGGGGGACCGCAAGGCCUCACGCGAUUGGAUGAGCCUAUGUCCGAUUAGCUAGUUGGCGGGGUAAGAGCCCACCAAGGCGACGAUCGGUAGCUGGUCUGAGAGGAUGAUCAGCCACACUGGAACUGAGACACGGUCCAGACUCCUACGGGAGGCAGCAGUGGGGAAUAUUGGACAAUGGGCGCAAGCCUGAUCCAGCAAUGCCGCGUGGGUGAAGAAGGCCUUCGGGUUGUAAGCUCUUUUGUCCGGAAAGAAAAGUUCUGGGUUAAUACCCCGGGAUUCUGACGGUACCGGAAGAAUAAGCAUCGGCUAACUUCGUGCCAGCCGCCGCGGUAAAAC
rnacentral:rRNA from 1 species